rnacentral:rRNA from 1 species
UACGUAGGGGGCUAGCGUUGUCCGGAUUUAUUGGGCGUAAAGAGCGUGUAGGCGGCCAGGUAGGUCUGCUGUGAAAACUCGAGGCUCAACCUCGAGACGUCGGCGGAAACCAUCUGGCUAGAGUCCGGAAGAGGAGAGUGGAAUUCCUGGUGUAGCGGUGAAAUGCGUAGAUAUUGGGAGGAACACCAGUGGCGAAGGCGGCUCACUGGACCGGAACUGACGCUGAGGCGCGAAAGCGUGGGGAGCAAACGGG